AGAAAGCAAGGAAACGAGCACAGAGAAACAUAAAGCAAUCGUGAAUCUUCUUCUCCUUCUUUCCUUUGUUUUCCAAAAACAAAACUAAAACCAUAAAACACAAACCCCCAUUUAUUUACUAGAUCUAAGCUUUCAUUCGAGAAGUGACAGAAGAGAAAGUUGCUCAUCGCCACGCUGCGGUGCUAGUGAUCUAGUUUUCGACGGGACGUCACGAGCUUAAAUUUUACCGGAAUUAAUUACGGUACCGUAAUCGCGUGUUAUAGCUAUCGUUCACGUAAGGGCUCCUUCCAAACUUUUAGUUUGCAUUUAGGACAUUAUUUGUGAUUUUGUGGAAAAGAAAUUUGAUGUAUUUGAGGUGUGAUUUUGUGAAAAAUGAAUUUAAUUAGUUUAUGUGUGAAUUAGUAUAAAUUGAAUUUAGUUGUUUUGAGGUGUGUUGUGUAGGGAUUAAUGUUGGGUUUGAAUUAUAUGUUCAAUUUUUCAAUCAUUUAUCUUUUUGUUUGGACUUUACUAUUGUGUUUCUCUAACACUUUUCCUUUGUUUUUAUGUUAAUGUUUGUUUACUUCUACAAAACACAUUUUUCCUUUGCUAUUAUGUAUAAUGUAUGAUAUUGAUAGUGUCCGUAUUUACUAUAUUCUUUUGCAGGCAUCUCUAUAUGGCAUAUUUCUCUCUGGAAAGAUUGUUUUGCAGGAAAUUUAUAAUAUGGUCCAUCAAGAAUCAUAUAGAAGAAAUGUUUAAAAUCUAAAAUCCAA
rnacentral:lncRNA from 1 species